GAUGUGGAGUGCCUUUUCCCAGUCCCUGGAUUUUACGUUUGAGACCAGAUCAAUCUCUUUCAAAGAAGUUGAAGCUGCGACAAGCAAUGAAUGCUCUGGAGCUGUUGGCAGCCAUGCUUUCUGCCAUGGGCAAAGCCAUGCAGUUGGGAAGGAAGAAGGCUGGUGCGUAGAGACAGAUGACAGAUGGAGAGGAAAGUAAUGGAGUUUGAGUUCCUGUUCUAAUGCUUCCUGAGGACCAGCUUUAACUUUCACUUUCCUGUGGAUUACUUGUUUCAUCCUUUCUUUGACUCUUCCUACUAACAAAUUACUAUUUUUGCUUAACCUUCUUUCAUUUGGAUUCUAUGAUGAUGAUGAAGAGGAGGAGAAGGCUGCCACUGCUGAUUGUUUUAAAGUGCCAAGAGAUAAGUGCAAGCCGAGCUCCCUGGUCUGAUUCUGCCUGAGGCUGGCCGUCUGGAGGGGAGGCUGUUCUUUACUGGAGACCAGGGCCCGGUCCAUUUAGGGCCCAGCUGCUGGUAGCUCAACUGAAGAGACACAUCCUUAAUGAGUUCCUGCGAGAGGGAUGUCUUAGGCUCAUUGCCACACCCACUCCCGCACCCACCUUCUCCACCGGGAUGCCCCAACCUGGCUUCCUGGAGUCCCUGGUGUUGGGGACGGGGCUGGGGCAAAGAAGCUGUCGUGUUGGGUAGGGUCAGGAUGAGGAGAGUUCUCAGAGCAGGCUGGGCCACCACAGUGAGUUCCAGGGACUCAGAGCUCUGUGGCCCUCCAUGUCCAGGGCCAAGGACAAUGGCAGACCACCCUGAAGAACACCAAAAACACCAGCCUGGGCUGAAACACCUGUGCAGCCUCUUUUCAUGUUCAAAUCAUCUCCCUCGAAGCAGCACUGCUGUAACUUUUUCUUUUUCUUUUUUUUAACUCUCACAGUGUGUCAGGUACUGCACAUACACUACUUCAUUUGCUCCUCCUAACAUUUGCUACUCCUCAUUUGCUACUCCUAAGAGUAGAUACUAUUAUUAUCCUCAUUUUACAGAUAAGGAAACUGAGGCACAGAGUGGUUAAGCAAUAUGCGCAAGGUCAGUUGGCUGGCCAGAUGCAGAACUGGGACAUGGAUCAGGUCUGUUUGAUUCUGAAGUCCCUACACAUAACUACAAGUUGCAUUGGCCCAAAGCUGUGGCCCCUGAGGAACCAACGCGGUAGGCAGCAGUCCUGUUAGAGAGCCAGGGAGGAGGAAACUUCAGAGUGAAUAGAUCUAGGGCAGCAGCCUCGCCAUAGUUCUGCAAGUAACUAGCACUAUGCUGUCGGUUCUCAGGGUGAGGGACUUGGGAAAUGAGAUGGAAGCUCCAUACCCCCCUCCACCACACGUGCCCCCCAACACACACCUCUGCUCGUGUCCCUGCAGCUAGGUGCUCUCUUGGGCUCACCUGGAAAGUGUGCCCCAGCAGUGGGCCAGGAGCCAAAAGGAUGGCUGGCAUUUUGGAACCUUGAAGUUUCUCUGAAGACCCCAGCUACAGGUCACAGAUCUGCAGACUUGUAGAACGUCAGGGGAGAGGGGUGUGGCAAACAGCCUCAGACCAGCCAGUGCACGUAAGAGGAAACUGGGACAAGGUCAUACGUCGAGUGGGAGAGCUGUCCAGAUGGAUGCCCUGCCCACUGCGUUCACUCCACACGCACACACUAACAUCACCACUAACACACACACACACACACACACACACACGGACACAUGCACCAACCCACACUUUCCACCCUAUUCCUCUGGAUUGAUUGAUUCACCAAACAUCUGCAGGGUGUUUACC